CCUACGGGGGGCAGCAGUGAGGAAUAUUGGUCAAUGGACGAGAGUCUGAACCAGCCAAGUAGCGUGAAGGAUGACUGCCCUAUGGGUUGUAAACUUCUUUUAUAUGGGAAUAAAAUGUUCCACGUGUGGGAUUUUGUAUGUACCAUAUGAAUAAGGAUCGGCUAACUCCGUGCCAGCAGCCGCGGUAAUACGGAGGAUCCGAGCGUUAUCCGGAUUUAUUGGGUUUAAGGGGAGCGUAGGUGGAUUGUUAAGUCAGUUGUGAAAGUUUGCGGCUCAACCGUAAAAUUGCAGUUGAAACUGGCAGUCUUGAGUACAGUAGAGGUGGGCGGAAUUCGUGGUGUAGCGGUGAAAGGCUUAGAUAUCACGAAGAACUCCGAUUGCGAAGGCAGCUCACUGGACUGCAACUGACACUGAGGCUCGAAAGUGUGGGUAUCAAACAGGAUUAGAUACCCGGGUAGUC
rnacentral:rRNA from 1 species